rnacentral:misc_RNA from 1 species
GCAAACUUGGUCAUUUAGAGGAAGUAAAAGUCGUAACAAGGUCUCCGUAGGUGAACCUGCGGAGGGAUCAUUAACGAACGGUCGACAGACCUUCAAACCCUUCAAACCAUGUGGAAAAAGACUGUGCUUCGGCGCUUGACGCGCCGCUUUUAUGCAAGAUCAAAAUGCUUUGUGUCUGAGCUUAAAACAAGAACAAAAAACUUUCAACAAAGGAUCUCUUGGCUCUCGCAUCGAUGAAGAACGCAGC